GAAUCACCUCCAGGCUUGUUGGAUGGGAUUCAUUGUUGUACUCCGAUUGUUUGGAUUUUCUUUGUCGACUUUGUUGUAUGAUCCUGUUACUCAUAUAGAUGAGGGUGUUGGUUUCACCUUGUACUCAUCACUCUUUGUGUAUGUUGUUUCUGUGCUUCUAUGUUGUUCUUGCUGCAGGUUGCCAUCUUUUGAGAUGACUCAGGCUCUUUGAAUGCCUGAGGAAUGAACAUAUCAUGUGCAUCAUACGCAUCAUUAGCACCAUACUCAUAUCAUUUUGCAAA
rnacentral:lncRNA from 1 species